AUGGAUCAGAGGACACAGGGGGGGCCCUCUACACCGCCCCCGCUCCCUGUCAAUGUCCCUCCAGCAGAACGCGAGAACGAGGGAGUAGGAGGAAAGAAGGACGAUGAAGAGGAAAAGAAAAAACAAGAGAAACCAAGAGAUGGGGUACAAAGUGAAACUUGUGCUGCUGAAAGUGGGACAAGUGACCAGCAACAGCAGCAAUCUGCACAGUUCUCGGUCAAAGAAACCAGUUACUCUGAGGGAAAUGUCAAGCUCAAGAUAGGCCUACAGGCCAAGCGCAUGAAGAAGCCUCCUAAGAUACUGGAGAACUAUGUCUGUCGUCCAGCCUUCCGAGCCACUGUAAGGCAUAGUGGAGGACGAGGCGGAGGACGUGUUAAUCGUGGGGCUGGAGCCAGUGAUGGGAGCAACCACACUUCUAGCCCAAGUCGUGGAAAAGGAGAGAAAAGCCCCUCUGGAAAGGCUGAUGUAAAAUCCGUUGCUUCUUCAGAGAGUCCCCUUAAUCUUCAUCGCCCCAUGACAGAAAGCAAAUCACCCUCCUCUGGAAAGAAAAACCAGCUUCCACAAACCAACUCUGCUUCUACCCCAUCGCCACCGACAAUGCCCCCAGCUACCACAUUGCAACAGGACCCCAAAACAGAUGGGAUCUUAAAAACUCAAUACAAUUUUACUGAGGGGCAGAAGGAACAAGACAGGGGAAUUUCUGCCUGGGGUACUCCUACAGUAACUGAGAAGCUUGCUCAGCUCAUAGCUACAUGUCCGCCGUCAAAGUGCCCUAAGCCAAAAGCCCGAAAGGUGUCACCAGCUCCAGCACACAGUAGCUCGCCUCCCUUAAUUUCUAAUCUGCAGCACCCUGAACGGGCUAUGGCCAAUAGGAACACCUAUUCCAGGGCGGUGCACCUUGCCCCACCACCGGUUUCACGGCCCCCAGGUCGCCCAUAUGGGUCCAAAAAUAAAGACAGUAUUCUGGAGACAUUUUCUGGCACCUCUAGAAAAGAGGAAUCAGAUGGACUUUCAAAAGGGAUCACCAGUAGCAACAGCAGCACAACCACCACCACCACUAGUACUGCACUGUCUCAAAACAGUAGUCACUUGACGACAUCCACAACUGAUAGCACUGACAACAGUACCACCAAUGGAAUGGAAUCUGAAUCUCGUCUUGGGCAUUGCCCAUCUCAUUCUUCCUCCACGGCUUCUCUUUCAUCACCACCACCAUCUUCCUCUUCUUCAUCCUUCUCCUUAGAAAGAAUAGGAAGUACAGGCUGUCACAUGUGUUUGCCAGGCUCACUAGCCUCACGGCCUAGAGCAAGCCCCUCCCGGAUAGAGGAGUUUACUGAGAAAGACAAAGAGCGUGGCCGAGACAAAGACACAGACAGUCCCAGAGAUUUAAGUAAGGGCUCUACUUCAGCUAUGCCAGGGAAGCAAGAUACUAAAGAAAGGUGUUCUUUGUCAACUCCUCGAAGUGAGAGGGGUAAGAGCUCAAGUCCAGUCAAACGUAGUCCCAAUCAGGAAAGUCGUGGUAGUGGGGUACCAAGUCCUGCUGAGUCCACCAAAUGCACUAUUUCACCUUCAUACCCUUCUGGUGCCAGCAGGAGCCCACCACAACUAUGUGAUGACACUGGGGCUCUAUCUCCUGCAUCACCAGCUGAGCAGGAUUCAAAGCCUCUUAAGAAGCGGCGAGGACGACGGCCUCGCUGGACGAAGGCAGUGAGUCGCACCCACAAGACUUCACAUGAGGCUGCUUCUAACCAUCAGAAACCAAUGCCAUCAGGGCUUUCCUCCUCAUCCCCUACUCGGCAACCUGUGGAAUGGACUCCUUCUGGUAAUCGGAUGUCCCCUGUUGCUUCAGAAUUUUUUGAUUCUUCACCCAAGAAGAGGGGACGGCCCAAGUCCAAAAUGCCUCGGUUAGAUGCACCAGCCCGUGGCCGAACCCCAAACAAACUGGUACCCUCAAAAGUCUUCUCUAGUCUGCUCAAAUCUAAAGAAGAGCAGGAUCCCCCUAUUUUGCACCCUGAAGUGGACUUUAAUCCACCUAAACCCAUGCAAAGAAAGCGUGGACGUCCCAAGCGCUCACCGCCAACACUUCCACAAGAAACCCAGCCCCCAACACUUGCUCCUGAGUCGGGGGGUGCUUCAGUAGGUGAAAAACCUUUUCGUAAUAAGGGCAAUGGGCAGCUCAUUAUGAAGACAAUUAUAGGCAAAAUUAAUAAGAUGAAGACAGUAAAACGGAAAAGGCUCCUCAGCCAAAUACUGCUUGGGCCGAAACCAGGGACUGAGCAGGAAAGGUCCAGAAGCAGUGGAGUGCCAGGGGCUGCGGCUGCUACAAAACCACAGUCUCUAUCAUCACUUGCUGCUACAUUUGGGGGCAAAUUAGGACCCCAGAUCAACGUUAGCAAAAAGGGGACAAUAUAUAUGGGUAAAAGGAGGGGUCGUAAGCCAAAAACAUCAGCUAAUCCCUCCCCAGGUGCCCCCACACCCCCUCCUGAACCUUUCUUGUCACCAAACACUUCGUCCCCACACCAUCAUCACCAGUCACAGGCCUUACAAAACCAGCAACACCACUUGCCUCCAUCUGAGGUGUUCCCUUCGCCUUCACUCUCGCAGUCAAGUGGAGGCCAGAGUCCCAUUAGUGAUGCCAGCUUUGUUGAGCCUGGCUCAGUGCAUUUCUCAUCCCACCCACACUCAAACCCAUCUCAAAAGAAAUCAUCUUGCCGGGGUUACCACCAUCACCACCACCACUACCGGCAGCACUACCAUUAUCGAAAAAUUUCUCCUCCAAGGCCACUAUUGCACACGUCUCCUGCUCCACUCAGUGAGCUGAAGGAGGCCACACCUUCCCCAGUCAGUGAAUCACACAGCGAAGAGACAGUACCCAGUGACAGUGGCAUUGGGACAGACAACAACAGCACCUCAGACCGUGGGGAAAAGGCUGGUAGUGCAAGUGGCUUAGCUGCUGCCCCAUCUCCUGCUUUGGUUGGACAUAAAGAGAAGCACAAGCAUAAGUGCAAACGCCGUGGACAUGGCUGUCCUAGCUAUGACAAACUAAAAAGGCAAAAGCGAAAACGCAAGAAGAAGUACCUGCAGCUGCGGUCACGUCGACAAGACCCAGACUUCUUGGCUGAUUUGGAUGAGAUCUGUGUGCAGCUCAGCGAUAUACGAAUUGGUGGAACCAAUCCACCACCCCAUCACUAUAUACACCGAGAUCUCUUGCCCACCAUCUUCAGGAUAAAUUUUAGCGGAUAUUAUUCACCCCACCCAGCCUACCCAUGUGAUUCACUUCAUUAUGUCCGUAAGCCAGAUCUUAAAAAGAAAAGAGGGCGACCACCUAAGCUCAGAGAAUCUAUAUCAGAAGUACCUUUUGUACCUGGGUUAGGCUUUCCCCUCUCCAGUGGAGGUUUCUAUCACCCCUCUUAUGGUGUUCCAUAUUCUUCUACCCCACUGGGACUUGGCUACUAUCGUGGUUAUACCCCAGCAAGUGCCCUGUACCCCCACCCUCAUCACCAGGCUCCUCACUCUGGCCCAUCCCACCAUGUUCAUUCUCCUUCUUUUCCUCCACCUCCGCCCCCUUCUUAUGCACAAGCACCGCACAAGCACCGUGAUCGCGGUGGAGAAGAGGAGGGUGAUGAUGUUGGGAGUGUAGAGUCCCUGCAGCGUUGCCGGUUCAGGCGAGAUGGUUCUGGUGACUCCAGUGGACAUCAUCCUGUUGACUCCUGGUUCAGGAUGGGAAGUUCUGAUACUGAUUACUCCAAACUCUCUAGAAACCAGUCCCUUUCUGGGUCUGGUGCAUUCUCUGAAGGACAUGUGCAAAAUACAGUGGAGUGCUCGGAGAGUGAUGAAGAAGAUCCUGCUUCCCCCAUUGAGGAGGCAGAGACCAGCCACCACACCAACUUGUUCACAUCUGCACUAUCUCGAACCUCCCUCAAAGGGAGUCGUAGCAAAAAAGGUAGAACAUCAGAGAGCACCAGUGUGUCACGGUUGGAUCAGACAGUGAGAAGAGAUCGUUCCAAAUCUGCAGAGAGAAGAGAGAUGGAGGUUUCUGAGGGUCCCCAUCAUCGGCACCACCAUCACCACCACCCUCCUCUGUCCCUCUCACACUCUGCCUCUUGCCUUUCUCACUGCACUCUUGAUCAGCCUGGAAGCACCGCAGCUCUCCGGCCCUCCAGCCGCCAGGCUAGUCCCUCCACAUACUCCUCCCAGCCUGCAUGCUGCCGUGACUCCCCCCCUUCACAUCACUCCCAUCGGCCCCCUCCCAAAAAUAACCUGCACCAUGUCAACAAGAUCCUCCGUGCAAAGAAGCUCCAGAGGCAAGCACGCACAGGAAACAACAUGGUGAAAAAACGAGGUCCAGGCCGUCCCCGCAAGCACCCGCUGCCCUCGCCUCCCCCGUCGCCCCCACCACAGACAUCUGAACAGGAGAACCAUCCUUUACCUGAAAGGCACAGAGGAAGUGUUCUGUGGGAGGAAGACACCGUGGUUGACGUCAUUGAGUCUGUAAUACAGAGUCAGCGCAGAAAGGGACGCAAGAGAAAACGCUGGGAAAGGGAGACAGAAGGAGUUGAUGAGGAAGACAAGGAACCAGAGGAGGAAAGAGAGGUGGAGGAAGAAGAAGAACGACCAUCAUCCCCUGAGCGCACAGGCCCUACUUCCCUGGAACAAGCCCCAAACCCAUCUGUGACCAGUCAACGGGAGAAGAGAGUUGCUAGACCACCCAAAAAGAAGUUUCAAAAGGCGGGGCUUUACUCUGAUGUGUACAAGACUGACGAUCCUCGCAGUCAGCUGCUACAGCUGAAGAAGGAGAAGUUAGAAUACACUCCAGGUGAACUUGAGUAUGGCCUUUUUCCUGCCCCCAUUAAUGUUGGGAAAUAUUUGAGACAGAAACACAUUGAUUUCCAGCUGCCUUAUGACAUCCUGUGGCUUUGGAAACAUGAUCAGCUCUACAAGAGACCUGAUGUGCCUCUCUACAAGAAGAUCAGAUCCAAUGUCUAUGUGGAUGUGAAGCCUCUUUCUGGCUAUGAAGCCACUACCUGUAACUGCAGGGCACCUGAAGAACACUGUGAGAACGGCUGUCAGGAUGACUGUCUAAACAGGAUGAUCUUCGCUGAGUGUUCUCCAAGUACAUGUCCAUGUGGCGAUCAGUGUGAUAACCAGCGUAUCCAGAGGCAUGAGUGGGUGCAGUCCCUCGAACGCUUCCGGGCUGAAGGGAAGGGCUGGGGGAUCCGCACCAAGCAGUCCCUACGUGCCGGCCAAUUCAUCAUCGAGUAUUUGGGAGAAGUGGUCAGCGAACAGGGGUUCAGGAGUCGCAUGAUGGAGCAGUACUUCUCCAACAGUGGCCACUACUGUCUGAAUCUGGACAGCGGCAUGUUCAUCGACAGCUACCACAUGGGCAACGAGGCUCGCUUUAUCAACCACAGCUGCGAGCCCAACUGUGAAAUGCAGAAAUGGUCGGUGAAUGGAGUGUACCGUAUUGGUCUGUUUGCUUUGAAAGACAUCAACAGCGGAACAGAACUGACAUAUGACUACAACUUCCACUCCUUCAACACAGAAGAACAGCAAGUCUGCAAGUGUGGCUCAGAGGGUUGCCGUGGCAUCAUUGGCGGCAAGAGCCAGCGAAUCAAUGGGCUGCCUGGAAAGGGGGGCGGAGCCCGGAGGCUGGGGAGACUGAAAGAGAAACGCAAGUCCAAACACUCACUGAAGAAACGGGAGGAAGAAUCCAGUGACAGCAGCAAGUUUUACCAGCACCUUUUAAUGAAGCCUAUGUCAAACAGAGAGAGAAACUUUGUGCUGAAACAUCGAGUGUUCCUGCUGCGGAAUUGGGAGAAGAUGCGGGAGAAACAGGAACUUCUGAAGCGAGAGGGAGAGCGAGAGAGGGACAACAGUGGUCUUUCUCUUUACACCCGCUGGGGAGGAGUCAUCCGCGAUGACGGCAACAUCAAGUCAGAUGUAUUUCUGACUCAGUUCUCAGCGCUGCAGACGUCACGCUCUGUGCGCACACGCAGACUUGCGGCAGCCGAGGAGAACAUGGAAGUUACACGCACUGCACGCCUGGCACACAUCUUCAAGGAGAUUUGUGACAUGAUCACAAGCUACAAGGAUUCAUCUGGUCAGACUCUCGCUGCUCCGCUGCUUAACUUGCCUUCGAGGAAGAGGAAUGUACAGUACUAUGAGAAGGUCACCGAUCCGCUAGAUCUCAGUACCAUAGAGAAGCAGAUCCUCACUGGACACUACAAAACUGUCGAGGCAUUUGAUGCAGACAUGCUCAAAGUGUUUCGCAAUGCUGAGAAAUAUUAUGGCCGUAAGUCUGCUGUAGGUCGUGAUGUGUGCCGGCUGAGGAAGGCGUACUACGGUGCGCGUCAUGAGGCUGCUGUCCAGAUUGAUGAAAUUGUGGGCGAGACGGCCAGUGAGGCCGACAGCUCUGAUUCGCUGGAGAGAGACCACGCCCACCAUCACCAUGACGGAGGAGGCAGCCAUGACAAAGACGAUGAUGUGAUUCGCUGCAUCUGUGGCAUGUACAAGGAUGAGGGGCUCAUGAUCCAGUGUGAGAAGUGCAUGGUGUGGCAGCACUGUGAUUGUAUGCGUUUGGAGGCGGAUGUGGAGCAUUAUCUCUGUGAGCUGUGUGACCCUCGUCCAGUGGACAGGGAGGUCCCAAUGGUGCCCCAACCCAGCUAUGCCCAGUCAGGAUCCAUCUAUUAUAUAUGCCUGCUUCGUGAUGACUUACUAUUGCAUCAGGGUGACUGUGUGUACCUCAUGAGAGACAGCAGACGCACAACAGAAGGUCAGCCAGUGCGUCAGUCAUACCGCCUCCUGUCUCAUAUCAACAGAGACAAACUGGACAUCUUCCGUAUCGAGAAACUCUGGAAAAAUGAAAAAGGUGAGAGGUUUGCCUUUGGUCAUCACUACUUCCGUCCCCACGAGACGCACCACUCUCCUUCCCGUCGCUUCUAUCAUAACGAGUUGUUCCGAGUGCCUCUCUAUGAGAUCAUACCACUGGAGGCGGUGGUGGGAACGUGCUGUGUGUUGGACCUGUAUACUUACUGCAAGGGUCGUCCAAAAGGGGUAAAGGAACAGGACGUUUACAUCUGUGACUACCGGCUGGAUAAAUCGGCACACCUGUUCUACAAAAUCCACCGCAACCGGUACCCAGUGUGCACCAAGCCCUAUGCGUUCAACCACUUCCCCAAGAGACUGACGCCGAAGAGGGACUUCUCGCCUCACUAUGUGCCGGAUAACUACAAGAGGAAUGGCGGCCGCUCUGCCUGGAAGAGUGAGCGGCCCAAAGGUGCAUCAACGUGCGAUGAAGAGCCCUCCCCCAGCGCAUCAUGUGAUCGACUGUCUGCUGGCUUCUCGAGAGAUGGGGACGAGGACGGAGGGAGAGGAGCAGAGGGAGAGAUGGAGACCACGCAGGAGGACUCCAGCGCCCCUGUAUCCCAGCUAUCCACAUCACAGGAAAGGAGGACAGGUGGGGAGGAAGAAGACAUGUUUGAUGAAAACCAAUGUCUUUAUCUCUCUCUUACAGCGAUAGAUGUGACGUAUCUUCUCGAGGAAGGCUCUGGUCGCCGCCUCCGCAGACGGACACUUGGAUUGAGUGAAUUUAUUUGCAGGAAGUAA
ensembl:lncRNA histone-lysine N-methyltransferase ASH1L-like